GGACUACUCGGGUUUCUAAUCCUGUUUGCUCCCCACGCUUUCGUACCUGAACGUCGGUGCUGGACCAGGAAGCCGCUUUCGCCACUGGUGUUCCUUCAGAUAUCUACGCAUUUCACCGCUACACCUGAAAUUCCGCUUCCCUCUUCCGCACCCUAGCUAGACAGUCUCGAAUGCAAUUCCCAGGUUGAGCCCGGGGCUUUCACACCCGACUUAUCUAACCGUCUACGCACGCUUUACGCCCAGUAAUUCCGAUUAACGCUCGCACCCUCUGUAUUACCGCGGCGGCUGGCAC
rnacentral:rRNA from 2 species